CCUUCGAUAGCUCAGCUGGUAGAGCGGAGGACUGUAGAUACAAAGCAUGUAGACAUCCUUAGGUCGCUGGUUCGAUUCCGGCUCGAAGGA
rfam:Ovis aries breed Texel chromosome 7, whole genome shotgun sequence.